AACGAACGCUGGCGGCAUGCCUAACACAUGCAAGUCGAACGAGACCUUCGGGUCUAGUGGCGCACGGGUGCGUAACGCGUGGGAACCUGCCCUUAGGUUCGGAAUAACUCCCCGAAAGGGGUGCUAAUACCGGAUAAUGUCUUCGGACCAAAGAUUUAUCGCCUUUGGAUGGGCCCGCGUUGGAUUAGCUAGUUGGUAGGGUAAAAGCCUACCAAGGCGACGAUCCAUAGCUGGUCUGAGAGGAUGAUCAGCCACACUGGGACUGAGACACGGCCCAGACUCAUACGGGAGGCAGCAGUGGGGAAUAUUGGACAAUGGGCGAAAGACUGAGCCAGAAAUGCCGCGGGAGUGAUGAAGGCCUUAGGGUUGUAAAGCUCUUUUACCCGGGAUGAUAAUGACAGUACCGGGAGAAUAAGCUCCGGCUAACUCCGUG
rnacentral:rRNA from 1 species